rnacentral:rRNA from 1 species
AUAUACAACCAUAGGGUGUGGAAAACAGGGCUUCCUAUCUGCUUAGCUGUACUUAAGCCACACGCUAGCUGGUUAGUAGUUAGGUAGGUAACCACUAGUGAAUCCUAGCUGUUAUAUAUU